GAAAGUAUGAAUUUUGGAUUUUAAAUUUGAAUUUAGAUGAAUUUAGAUAAAUUUUAAUACCAUUUCAAACUAUAUUUAUUCAAAUUCAAUAUAAUUUCAAAUCCAAAUUCCCUCCAAAGUAAAAUUUUAAUAACAUUGAUACCAAGUACAUAUAAGCCCUGCAAGAAAAAAAUACCCAAACCUAGCGAACUCCCAAUUAGUCUCUAGUUAAACACAAGGCAUACAAAUUGAGAUAUCAAGCAUUGUUCAUAUACCUAUUAACUAAAGAAAAAUAUAUAAAUUUUAAUAAAUAUUUUUCUCAGUAUUCUUAAAAAUUUCCUAAUCUUACAAAAUUUACAUUGAUAAUAAAAUUUUUAUUUAAAAAUUCUAAAAUAUUUCUGUAACCCCUUCAUCUUCAUUAUUAUCUACCCAACACCUAAUCUUUCUGAAAAUGGGAGAUUGCGGAGCAAGAGAGAGACGGUAAACCACGCUCCUCAAUUUCCCACCACUCAAGACUCUGAAACGAAAAAGACUGUAAAUCAUGAGAUUUUAAGUUUUUCAUCACUUGUUUCUUUUCCCCUAUCGAAACUAGGGCAUUUUCUUAGGAGAAACAGAGCAAAAGCAAAAAGUUAACGCUCCUGAUGAGAAACAAGAGGGGCCGCUGCGGUCCGACGACGGCCGGAGCCGGAGCGGAGCGUACCUGGAUCUCGCACCGUGGUCCGAACAAAGUGUCCCCUUUCCAGCAAGGCUUUCACCAGGAGUAGUGCAAAAGAGAGGACAGUGACUUGCAAGUUGGUAAGAGUGGUUCCAUAUGUCUUUACCUUUUUUCUUUUGUCACUUUUUCUUUAUGUAAACUCCUAUUAUUAUUAUUAUUAUUAUUAUUAUUAUUAUUAUCUUUUUCUUUUUCUUUAUGACCCCUUCUACUUCGAGUGAUCAAACCUCUGUAGAAAUUAUUAGGUGGAUUGGGUCUACACAUCAUGUAUAGAUUAAUCCAAUUAAAUGUUAACAACUCUAAAGUAGACGCAUAGCAAAUCCUAGUCUGUGGUUCCUAAAA